GUUGGGAAUGGAAAAAUCAAAUGGGGAAUGUGUCAAAGGGAAAACAACCUGACCGAAGGGUAGAAAAAAACGAAGGUCACCAUCCAAUGUGUCUUCAACACAGUGAGAAAAUCUCAGCAUUCCCCUAAACAAAAGGUGUACUUGUUAAAUGAAAAUGCCUGGACGUCAUUUUAAACUGCAAAACGUAUAUAUGACCUAAAACG
rnacentral:lncRNA from 1 species